GACGUAGGGUCCGAGCGUUGUCCGGAGUUACUGGGCGUAAAGGGCGCGUAGGCGGUCUGGUACGUCCCCCGUGAAAGCCCCUGGCUCAACCAGGGAGGGUCGAGGGAAACGGCGAGGCUGGAGGCAGCGAGAGGCUGGUGGAAUUCCCGGAGUAGUGGUGAAAUGCGUAGAGAUCGGGAGGAACACCGGUGGCGAAGGCGGCCAGCUGGCGCUGACCUGACGCUGAGGCGCGAAGGCAUGGGGAGCGAACGGG
rnacentral:rRNA from 1 species